rnacentral:rRNA from 1 species
UGGGGAAUUUUGGACAAUGGGGGAAACCCUGAUCCAGCCAUCCCGCGUGUGCGAUGAAGGCCUUCGGGUUGUAAAGCACUUUUGGCAGGAAAGAAACGUCAUGGGUUAAUACCCCGUGAAACUGACGGUACCUGCAGAAUAAGCACCGGCUAACUACGUGCCAGCAGCCGCGGUAAUACGUAGGGUGCAAGCGUUAAUCGGAAUUACUGGGCGUAAAGCGUGCGCAGGCGGUUCGGAAAGAAAGAUGUGAAAUCCCAGAGCUCAACUUUGGAACUGCAUUUUUAACUACCGGGCUAGAGUGUGUCAGAGGGAGGUGGAAUUCCGCGUGUAGCAAUGAAAUGCGUAGAUAUGCGGAGGAACACCGAUGGCGAAGGCAGCCUCCUGGGAUAACACUGACGCUCAUGCACGAAAGCGUGGGGAGCAAACAGG